ACUGCAAAAAUAUACACAUGCAUCUUGCUAGAAUAAAAAAGAGUUAAGGAAAUGACAUAAAAAUCUGUAAAGACGACAAAGGCAAUCUAAGUGUAGAUGUAGACUCCAAGCAUUAUGAGGAUAGCAUCUCAGAAUUACUGACACGUUAAAUAUACAAAGAACUAAAGAAAGAUACAUUACAACGCAUACUGUAUAACGUUAAAACCGCUGUACAUUACUCAAUUUUUAUCAAACCAGGAAAAAAAUUAG